rnacentral:sRNA from 1 species
UGUAUAUUAUUUAAAUUGUAGAAGCACAUAUUAUUUGGACAUUUAAAAAUGCUAAUUCAUUUUAUUCCUAGAACCACAAGGAAGUAACAAAAAUAAAAGUGUGUGUGUGUGUAUGUGUGUGUGUGUGUGAAGGCUUCUCUAGCUUGUAUCUCCAA